AAAGUACUCCCUCCGUCCCAAAAUUCUUGUCUUAGAUUAGUCUAGAUACGGAUGUAUCAAGUCACAUUUUAGUAUUAGAUACAUCCGUAUCUAGACAAAUCUAAGACAAGAAAUUUGGGACAGAGGGAGUAGUUG
rnacentral:pre_miRNA from 1 species